CGAAAUUUUAUACGUGGUGCGUGAAAGGUGAAAACUAGAUGAACCCAGGCAGAUCAGGAGAAUGCUGAGAUCGCUUCUCAAAAACUAACAAAUGGUGGAUCAUAGCGCUGUCUAAAUCUUAGUUUCUCCUCUCUGAUCUUCUCACGUGGUUCGUUUCUCGGCGUUUCUUUUACUCAUCGGAAUCUGCUUGAUCUCCCCCCUUCGGAUUUUAAUUGCUCGAUUCUAAAUCCUUUUCUGGUCCCAUUGCUUCUGUUCAGUUGCCUCCUCCAGGAAGUCACAUUACAGGAUGGCUGACGUUGGGAAAGUGCUGUAUAUUGUGGUGGUUGACGAGUAUGAGCAGAAAGCGAAGGGCAAGGAGUCAUUUCGGUAUACACGCCCUGUUCUGCAGAGCACUUUGCAGUUCAUGGGAUGCAAAGCGCGACAUGCCUUUAAGAUCAGUAAAAGGGUGUUUGAACUCACAAGGAGCGAGAGUUU